GUGACGAAGCGACGCCGCGUGUGGGAAGAAGGCCUUCGGGUUGUAAACCACUGUCAGGAGUUAAGAAAUGCAAGGGUGUAAAUAGCAUCCUUGCUUGACUAAGGCUCCAGAGGAAGCCACGGCUAACUCUGUGCCAGCAGCCGCGGUAAUACAGAGGUGGCAAGCGUUGUUCGGAAUUAUUGGGCGUAAAGAGCACGUAGGCGGCUCUGCAAGUCAGCUGUGAAAGCCUUCUGCUUAACGGAAGAACAGCAGUUGAUACUACAGAGCUUGAGUGUGGGAGGGGAGAGUGGAACUUCUGGUGGAGCGGUGAAAUGCGUAGAUAUCAGAAGGAACGCCGGCGGCGAAAGCGACUCUCUGGCCCGUAACUGACGCUGAGUGUGCGAAAGCUAGGGGAGCAAACGGGAUUAGAUACCCCGGUAGUCCUAGCCGUAAACGAU
rnacentral:rRNA from 1 species